rnacentral:rRNA from 1 species
CCUACGGGUGGCAGCAGUGGGGAAUAUUGCGCAAUGGGCGAAAGCCUGACGCAGCGACGCCGCGUGAGGGAUGAAGGUCUUCGGAUCGUAAACCUCUGUCAGCAGGGAAGAACGGUCACUGUGCUAAUCAGCAGUGAAUUGACGGUACCUGCAAAGGAAGCACCGGCUAACUCAGUGCCAGAAGCCGCGGUAAUACGGAGGGUGCGAGCGUUAAUCGGAAUUACUGGGCGUAAAGCGCUCGUAGGCGGUAUGUCAAGUCAAGGGUGAAAUCCCCGCGCUAAACGUGGGAACUGCCUUUGAAACUGGCAAACUGGAGUGUGUGAGAGGAGAGUGGAAUUCCAGGUGUAGGAGUGAAAUCCGUAGAUAUCUGGAGGAACAUCAGUGGCGAAGGCGACUAGCUGGAACAUAACUGACGCUGAGGAGCGAAAGCGUGGGUAGCAAACAGGAUUAGAUACCCUUGUAGUC